AUUGAACGCUGGCGGCACGCUUUACACAUGCAAGUCGAACGGUAACAGGCCGCAAGGUGCUGACGAGUGGCGAACGGGUGCGUAAUGCAUCGGAACGUGCCCAGUCGUGGGGGAUAACUACUCGAAAGAGUAGCUAAUACCGCAUACGAUCUAUGGAUGAAAGCGGGGGACCGUAAGGCCUCGCGCGAUUGGAGCGGCCGAUGUCAGAUUAGGUAGUUGGUGGGGUAAAGGCUCACCAAGCCAACGAUCUGUAGCUGGUCUGAGAGGACGACCAGCCACACUGGGACUGAGACACGGCCCAGACUCCUACGGGAGGCAGCAGUGGGGAAUUUUGGACAAUGGGCGCAAGCCUGAUCCAGCAAUGCCGCGUGCAGGAAGAAGGCCUUCGGGUUGUAAACUGCUUUUGUACGGAACGAAACGGCUCUGGUUAAUACCCGGGGCUAAUGACGGUACCGUAAGAAUAAGCACCGGCUAACUACGUG
rnacentral:rRNA from 1 species